rnacentral:rRNA from 1 species
AGAGCGAACGCUGGCGGCAGGCUUAACACAUGCAAGUCGAGCGGGCGUAGCAAUACGUCAGCGGCAGACGGGUGAGUAACGCGUGGGAACAUACCUUUUGGUUCGGAACAACACAGGGAAACUUGUGCUAAUACCGGAUAAGCCCUUACGGGGAAAGAUUUAUCGCCGAAAGAUUGGCCCGCGUCUGAUUAGCUAGUUGGUGAGGUAACGGCUCACCAAGGCGACGAUCAGUAGCUGGUCUGAGAGGAUGAUCAGCCACAUUGGGACUGAGACACGGCCCAAACUCCUACGGGAGGCAGCAGUGGGGAAUAUUGGACAAUGGGCGCAAGCCUGAUCCAGCAAUGCCGCGUGAGUGAUGAAGGCCUUAGGGUUGUAAAGCUCUUUCGCCCGCGACGAUGAUGACGGUAGCGGGAGAAGAAGCCCCGGCUAACUUCGUGCCAGCAGCCGC